AGGAGGUCCUAUUCUACACAUGUGUUGAACAAUUAUGUACAAAGUCGACAGUAAUAAUUUUCUUUAAAAAUACACUCAAAGUUAGAACUGAGCCCCACUAGCAGUAGGAGAAGAGAUCAGACCCAGGGUGUUUCUCAGGGACACAGAAAAGGGAUCGAACUAGCAACCUUCAGUUUACAAGCCAACCUGCCAACCUCCUAUAUAGUUAGUUAGAAAUGUAUUGUCCCCUUGGGGAAAUGGUUCUCAGUGAAAAGACGGAUACACAUGACCCUUAACAACAACAUGAAAAACAAACAACAAAAAGUAAAUAAAGAUAAACAACCACUGACAAGACAAAACCCCCAAAUCAUCAUAUUUUCCACAUAGUUCAGGGACACAUCUAAAGAUGUUGGCAUUUUAAACCAACAAUUAAAACCUUUUUAAAUGUUUGUUUAAAAGGCUGAUGGAUUGCGGAAGGAAUUACUGUUUUGUUCUAUUUUUGGAGAGGGCUGGGUAUCGAAACCUGCUACCUGAGGGUAAUAGUUCAAAGGUGGAGAAAAGUGGGUGUUUUGAAUUUGCUAAAAUAAUUUCUAAUUGACUCUGAACUUUCUGUCGGUGUUUUCCAGAUUACUUAAAUUAGUACCCAACAGCUUGCUGGCAGUGGUCACUAUUUUCCUAAGCCUACUCUUCUCUGUGCUUCUGCUGCGCUGCCAAACCAGCAGAUUAUGCAGAAGGUCAAGACACUCUCCACAUAAGCAGUGAAGAACAUCUAUAUAUACUAUAUCUGGAUAUAGGAGG